ensembl:lncRNA
AGCCCUGCAUCUCUGUUAGCAGAUGAUGAUUGUUCUCAGGACACUCCUGUCUCUGGCUGUGUGGAUCUCUCCUUUCUGGAGGAGGCACUGCUGGCAUCACCGGGAUCCUCACUUGGAAGUGGAGGUCCAGAGGUGCAAGAAGAUCCCAAUGUCCAACUAGUGGAACAACAGAAAGAGUCAGAAGAGAUCUGUGACUUUCUCCAGCAGAGUCUCCAGGAGGCUAACAUCACUGAGGACACUCUCGCAUUAGAGGCAGGACUUGCCCAGACAGUAGAAACUCUCCAGUUUGGUUUGUCUGGCACAUCCCUUCCUUUGCCUUCAACACCAUAUUUCCCCAAACAAUUGACCCUUCCUGGCUUCAGCUCUUUACCAAAGGACACCCAAACAGCAGUGGAGCCUCCUCAGCCAUCUUUGUUAGCUGUUGGCCCAGGCUGCCCCUCACUCAAACCUCCAGGAACGCAGCUGAUAAGUCUACUUCCUGGGAAUGUCUUCCCCACACCUCCACUCGAGGCAUCCUUUUCUAUUAAUUCAACACAAAGCACCAGCAUGAUUAUCCAAAAGACCCUACCAACCCGCCAGAUGUUGGCCUCCACCGUUAGAACAAUUAGUCCAUCAGGGUUCAUGUUACAAAAAACCCUUCUACCCAUUCAACCUAAGUUACCAGUGAGCAUCCAGCCCAGGCUCGUGCAGAUCAGUCCCAGGCCAUCAGGACAGAAACCAUUGCAAGGAUUUGCCUUCAUCUCAACAAACACGUCACAGAGUGUCUUGUUAUCCCCUUCUGUUGGCUCAAAGCAGUCCUUACAAGAACAGUCCACACCAAGUGUCUGCAAACCUGUUAGCAUCAAUCUGGUUGGUCAGGGAGGCCCAAUUGUCAUUCAGCCCCAGGAUCCUUUUCAGGGCCAGAGACAAUUCUUUCUGCCGAACCAAACACCUGCAACUAUGUCCCAAUCUACCAGCAUACCAAGGUGUAUUCUUAGUACACCAAGCAAUCAGGUGUCUAACGAACCCAGUGUUGACAGUUCUCAUAUAGUGACUGUACGGCCAAGGCAAAUCAACUUCAGCCCUAUUUUCACCUCCCCAACUGGACAGCUCACCCUAAAACAAGGGGCUCUUCUGUCAGGGUCCUUACCAAUUCAUACAACACCUCCUACAGUCUUCCAGAUGCCAACACAGCUAGCAGGGACCUAUGCAUCUCAAGUGCAGGGGCAGCAUGCAGUAGUUCAAAACACUGUUGGGAACCAGACCACAUUGAUUAAUAAUGCCAAUAUGCUUAUUCCUGAUAUGACCACCAUACCAAUAGAAAGUGGUCAGUCUAUGAUACAAAGUCUGCCUUUGGUGCCUCAAGCCCAAAGUGCUCAAAUAAGUGGACCUGAGGGAAAGGCGUGUCUUACCCAGAAUUCAGUGCUUCUCUUGCCCGAGAGAACAACAGAGGAUCAACAGGAGAAAGUCAAUAAACCGUUUCAAGAGAGCGGAUUGCUUCUUCCAGCUUCAGUGGAAGCACCUGUUGCAGAGACUCACUCUCUGCCUUCUCCAGUAUCAACUCUACCACAGUCAUCACCAGAUAUCAGUUGUACCCCUAAGACAGUGUUGUCAUUAUCGCCCCAGCUGAUUACCCAGACAGGAGAGCAUAACCCAUUAAAUCAUAAUCAGGCUUUAGCGCAUCCUCCCCAACAGUAUCCACAAAAACCAUCAGCCAGCCAAGAUCAACCAGCUGCAACUCUGCUUGUGCAAGUGGACAACCAUAUCUCUGCUUCUGUAGGUGAAGCUGAGGACUCGCUCACAUCCUUGACUGCAUCUGAGACUUUCUCUUCCUUGUGUGAGAGUGAAGAGAUUCUUAUGCCAACAUGCCAUGGUUCAGAGCACACAGAUAUUCUAUUGCAGUCUCCUAUUGGCCAGUGCUCUGUAAAGACCACAGACACAGACUCCAUGAAGGGCUCAACAACUCCAGUCUCAGAUGAGCAGGAUCCCUCCGUGUUAAUUGCUCUUGGUGCUGACCCCAAGUUUCAUGAGGGGCCAGUAAUGAGUAAGAGCCCUUCCUCUUCCUUAGAGAAGUUGUUUAUGUAUCUGGAGCAAUUGGGCCAAAGUCAUGUGUUAACUGAGCUUAGCAGAACCUCAGAGUCAACCGACCAUGAGUACAAGCAGCAAUACAGUGAACAUGACACAGAGCCCACAGUCCCAAGGAACAAUGGGCUAAUCUCUUUUAAUCAGCGUGAGUUACAGGAGAAGGUACAUCUCGGGCCCAGGCUGCUUGCCCAGGACAAGGAGACCUAUUCAACACUUCAGAAGAACCAGGUAAAGGUGCAAAAGAAAUGUGAAGUCAUAGUCAAAUCAUGCCAGAUUUCCAAAAGAUGUGACAUUUCGAAUGGACUCAGAAUGUCAAAGUCACUCUGGAUUUGAAGUAUGUUAUUAAAGUUCCCUCUGUGUCACAGACCCUAACUGCAAGUGUGGAUCCAAAAGAGGAGAAGCUGAGACUAACAAAGAGGCAACACAGGUAAGUAAAAAUAGAUUUACUCAGUAGCAUACUAAUUCUAUGCAGACAUCAGUAUGAAUUCAAAAACAUUUAAGAUUGAAAAUGCCAUAGGCAGGGCUGUAGCUAGGAAGAAACUGUGUUGUUAGACCAGAUGAUUAGGGAAUAAAUAGUCUCGCAUAGCCA